rnacentral:rRNA from 1 species
UACGGGGGAGCAAGCGUUGUUCGGAUUUACUGGGCGUAAGGGCGCGUAGGCGGCCACCGCAAGUCGAUCGUGUAGAACUCGCCUGGACCUGAACCGGAGCACUCGAUACUGCGGGGCUAGAGUGCAGAAGGGGCAACUGGAAUUCUCGGUGUAGCGGUGAAAUGCGUAGAUAUCGAGAGGAACACCUGCGGCGAAGGCGGGUUGCUGGGCUGACACUGACGCUGAAGCGCGAAAGCUAGGGAGCGAACGGG